AGCAAAACAUGUUUACAUUUUUCACAAUGUGAACAAAAAUAGUUCGUUUAUUUGCGUUUUUUUCCCAUGUUCGAAGCAAGUUUAAAUUCCGGUAGAAAAGCAUGGACAUUUGCAUACUGUGUGGAAGUUGCUGUACGCCAGGCUUUACGCCAGCUCGGUCCUUAAGUGAUAAAUAUUCUGCCAGUGACCAAGAUGAUUCUACACACAAAGUUCCGGCGGUGAUGGCUGCUUUUUUAACAAGCGGUAAAUGAGCCGAAUGAGUAGUUAGCCUAUUAUUGAAAGUGCCUUUAAGUUCCCAAAAUUUGGCUGUUUUGGUUUCCUGCCAGGGGCUUUAUGAUAGAAUUGCCACUGAUCACCCCGUGCAAAAAGAUGAAGGAAAGAACCCUGACCGAAGGAAAGAACUCCGGCCGAAGGAAAGAACCAUGACCGAAAGAAAUAACCCCGACCGAAGGAAAGAACCCCGACGAGUCGCUGGGUUAGUUCGGAAGCGGCUAGUAACUGGAUUACUCGUCUGAUUAGAAUUUAAAAUAAUGAAAUAAUAUUUAAAACAAUGUUUUAAAUCGAUGAAAUAAA